AUAGUGUAGUUCAUAUUGAGAAAAACCUGAUUCUUUUUUUUUAAAUCUUCUCGAGUAAAAAGGUCGGGCUUUCAUGAAAAUAUUUAUUUCUACUGAGAUUAUAUGGUGAAUUGGAGAUAGAUUUGUGAAAUGGCUGGUGGUGGUGCUGGGCCAAGUGAAGCACAAUUCAAAGGAUGGCAGAAAUACUUUAAUACCUACACCAUUCGUGGAAGAUCAAAUAUAACAUUUGCCACAUAUGGUGCUCUAGCUCUGCUUGGUCUGUAUAUGUACCUGAAGCCAAAAAAGAAGCAAUAAAGUUGAAAUUCAUUUAAUUUCUAUAUUGUCACUAGUGUAAUGAAAUUAAAAUGUCAAAACUGCAAGAUUAUGUCGAGUUGUAAUAAAAUGUAAACAUACAAUAG